rnacentral:lncRNA from 1 species
CCCUGGAGGACUGUUCGCCGCUGGAAAUCUGAAGAUUUUCCUUGUCAAUGUCAACAAUAAGGAUCCCAUUCUGACCUGCAGUUUAUUCAACAUUGAAAACGCUGUCCUGAGUGUCACAUCUGUCAACUCAACUCUGCACAACGAAGUGGACAUCACACUGGAUGAGGAAAUCCCAGUUGGGAAAACGGUUGGAGCGUGCCGGGCAGAUGACGAAGAUGACUUGGGAGAUUUGACCUUCCAACUUGAGCCUGGGAAUGUUUACUUUGCAGUUGAUCAAGGUAGGUUGAAACUUGUUCUCCACAAAUUGUCUUAUCACACGUGGUUGCAAUCAUAGGUUUCUACGCACAUCCCACCUGCAGACUGUUUCUUGAUUUCCAAGACCCCAGCAUGAAGCGUGUGCGAGAGACACUUCCCAACGAUCCGUUCCACACCUCUCUGCAAGGUCAAUUUCUUU